UGUGUUUCUUUCAGGACAAAGAAUCACUUACCCUCAGCUGAGGACUAUGAUGUAUGCUCUCCCUCUUGUUCCUUUGCUGCACCACUCACAUCCUACAGCGGCUCCAUACUUUCAGGACGACCGGUCACCGGCGGCGGACUCUUGAUCGGCGGCGUCCCACCCUCACCUGCAGAGCUCCAACCAGUGGCAAUGGCAGCGGCGAUCCCUAACCGUAGAGUCGUAGCGGUGACCGGCGGCCAAGCUCCAGCCAGGGAGGGGAAGACGGCGAUCCACUGCACCUGGACGGAUGGUGUCAGAUGGAUGGGAAGGCCGCGACCAAGCUCCAGUCGGGCGGCGGGCGGCGGCGGAAGAUCCUGGUUUGGCGGCGGUGGGCGGUGGACGGCG
rnacentral:rRNA from 1 species